ACCCCCUGAGUGCCGAUCCCACCUGUGAAAGGGGAGGAGCAGACGAAGGGAUAUGCCCAGAGGAAAUCAACAAGACCAAAGAGACGUCAGAGUCCUGAUGGCCAAAAUCAGACACCAGCUUUCCUGAGAAGGCAGAAGAGAGAGCCCCACAGAAGCGGUGGGGGCUCAGAAGGUGCCCUUGUUGAGCUGCUUGAGGCAGAAGGCACAGACGAAGUGCUCGGGGUGGAACUUCUUGGCCAUGGCGGUGAUGCAGCGGCCAGUGAUGGGCUUCUGGCAGCCGGAGCACAGCGAGCCGCGCCGCUCGUGGUAGUGCACCUCACAGUAGGGCUGCCCGUCGUGCUCGAAGAAGCUGCCGUUGACGAAUGGCGUGAAGCAUUCCUGCCAGGUGGAGAGAGGGGCUCAGGGGGCUGUCCCUCGGGCUAGAGCAGCACCCAGUAUGAUGGGGCCCAGAUGGGCAUGGUCGGCACACUUGGAGUGACUCCUACUUGCUAGGCAUUUACUAUGUGCCAUGCUGUCCUAAACACUUAUUUUUUAUUUUUAUUUAAAAAAAUUUUUUUGUAGAAA